UACGGAAGGGGCAAGCGUUGUUCGGAAUCAUUGGGCGUAAAGGGCGCGUAGGUGGUCCUAUGUGUCUACUGUGAAAGCACACGGCUCAACCGUGUCGGGUCGGUAGAAACUGUAGGACUUGAGGCUGGGAGGGGCUGGUGGAAUUCCCUGUGUAGCGGUGAAAUGCGUAGAGAUGGGGGAGAACACUCGUGGCGAAGGCGGCCAGCUGGACCAGUCCUGACACUGAGGCGCGACAGCAUGGGGAGCAAACAGG
rnacentral:rRNA from 2 species